ACCGGUCUCAUAUUCUUCCCAUAUUGGAAAUGGUGAUUAGCAAGCCACAGGUGAAUUCGCUUAGCUUCGGUUAAGUGACUGCUUGCAAUCUAUAGCUCCUUGAGGGCUGAACCUUUCUAGUGUGGUGUAAUAACCCCAAAUCACCUGGCUAUUAGGCCAACCCUAUAAGGUUGGGGAGGGUCUAACAACCCUUUCCAGCCGAACUAGGAGCCUCUUAGCCUUUAUCAUUUUUUAACCCCUUUAACAUAAAUUAUUACUGAUUUUACUUCUAUAUGGCUUCGAGCCUUAUUGAUGUAUACGAAAUUGUGAACAACUCUUAGCAACGGAUAUCUUGGUUCUCGUACCGAUGAAGAACGCAGCGAAAUGCGAUACGUAAUGCGAAUUGCAGAAUUCAGUGAAUCAUCAAAUCUUUGAACGCAAAUUCCGCUCUUGGGAUAGCCCUGGGAGCAUGCCCCUCUGAGUAUCGGUUCUACCUAUACUCGCCUGCGUGCUUUUUUUGAAAAAAAGAAGUCAUUGUAUGGCGGAAAAUGAGUUGUCAAGGCUUCUGAAAGAGCCCUGUCACUUGAAAUGUAUAGUGGCUUCAGACCCUUCUAGUAGUGUAACAGCUAUGUAUUUGGCUUGUCUACU
rnacentral:rRNA from 1 species